GACACUAUGGCCGAGUGGUUAAGGCGACAGAUUUGAACUUCCACUAUCUGUUGGUAUUUACCGCGCAGGUUCAAACCCUGCUGGUGUCG